rnacentral:rRNA from 1 species
UGAACGCUGGCGGCGUGCCUAAUACAUGCAAGUCGAACGCUGGAGAUCUAGCUUGCUAGAUCGAAGGAGUGGCGAACGGGUGAGUAAUACAUAAGCAACCUACCCACGAAGACUGGGAUAAUCUCUGGAAACGGGGACUAAUACCGGAUAGGUAAUCGGAAGGCAUCUUCUGGUUAUUAAAGGUUAAAAACACUGGUGGAUGGGCUUAUGGCGCAUUAGUUAGUUGGUGAGGUAACGGCCCACCAAGACGAUGAUGCGUAGCCGGCCUGAGAGGGUGAACGGGCAAAUUGGGACCGGGGACCGGCCCAGGCCUCUAAGGGGGGCAGCAGUAAGGGAAUUUCCGGAAAGGGGGCAAACCUGACCGGGGAACGCCGCGUGAGUGAAGGCGGCCUUCGGGUUGUAAAGCUCUGUUGGAAGGGAAGAACGGGAGGUAGAGAAUAUCUAAGGGACGGUAACCUACCAGAAAGCCACGGCUAACUACGUG